CUCCUCGCUGUCCGCCUCUCAUCUGCUCUGUGCAGGAGCGACCAGGACCGAGUCCAGAGGCUCUUACUGCAGUCUGCCCCUUUCCCUGCUGAAACACGAUGUGGGGUCAUUAACAGGGCAGAAAAAGUUCAAAGUGAACAUGUGAGGUCUCCAGUGACUCUUCAAGCAAGGUUACGAGAGCAUUAGCCUUCCUGGUGGCUUAAAGUCCCUUUUCACAGCUGACUAAACAUAAAUGGCACCGGUUUAACAAAGAGACACAGAUGGCAGAACUGAUUAUAGUCCACACCGAAUGAGGAGAUUGAUUCAACAAGCAUGGGCUCUCCACCAGCCUCAUUAGCCCUUGGAGCAGACUCUACUCUCUUUGAGGUUUCUACCAGUGUCACCUCUACUGUAUGAGCGGUCAGCAUAAAAAUACAUUAAAAGAGCAAGAGGAAAGCACAAUUUUAAAGGUAUUGGUAUCUCUGUCCAAGCUACACUGAAGAGUCAUAUUAUCCACAGCAUGAAAGAUUCCCAUAUUUAACUGGGCAGGUAUGUACUUUAAAAGAUCAUUUAUCAGUUACUUUUGCUAGACGUUCUAGCAGCUUAGAUCACCUAAUUUUGGCUCCAACUUAGAGGUGAAGGAUAGCAUAAAUUUCAAAGUUCCCUUCUCUGCUACUGCUUUAAGAUAACCCUUUUUGUUCUACUAAAUUGUUUCCCAAUUGCUUCACAACUUCUGACCACAUUUCAGAAGAGAGGGACCUCAGGAAAAAACUACUGGCAUUUCAGACUUUUAGAAAAAUAUUUUUAAUUAAGAUUUUUUCUCACAUUGUUAAUAUUAAACAUUAUAACCAUUUACAACGUGGCCAAGAAGACAGUGCUCAGUUACUGUUUCUGUAAGGUCGAUAGGACUUCUGACUAUUGUAAUAAUAGCAUAACACUCUUGACUUAAUUUCACAUGGAAAAAAAUAUAUUAAUUGGCCACUCUGAACUCUAAUUUGGGCCACUGUUUCCCAAAUUCACCUGAAAAUUCUUGGAAACCAUGGAAAAAGACUUGAUAGCAAGAUAAACAGUAUAUGUGUACUGCACAGUGCAGCAUGCUCUGGGAUCUCUCACAGGGCUAAAAAGAAUGACUGCUUCACAGCGAUUCUUCUGCUUCCAGAAGCCACAUACAACACUUUAUAUGACUCCACAGUGUUCAGGGUAGAUACAUCUAUAGGUUUUCUUGGAAGGUACUUUGCGUAAAUUGUCCGUUUAAAUCAGAAUAGGAAUCUAACUGCAGGGUAACUAAUGCAGAGACAGUUUGAAGAAAAGUAGGUUAGAAGCCUCUAAUAGGACCAUAGGAAAUGCUUUAAAUAUAUUUACUGGAGUUCCUUUGGUUUGGCCUGAAACCAUCAUAAUUAAGUGUAUCAAAAAUAAUCCAAGGGUAACCACAAUAAAGAUUUAUUUAUUUGGAGGGUGGGGGAAGGAAGAAAGAAAGAAAAGAUAUAAAACUCAGGAAUUCCAGUGCGCAUUUUGGAUCUGGUCUUUUGGAAGUAUUUGCCCAGAAACAGGGGAAGAGAAGAGAUAGAAGCCAGAGAAAAUGAAAUGUAAAGAGAAGGGUAAACAUGGCUAGCUUGCAAAUCAGGGUGGUUUGAAAUGCAUGAAGAAACAGGAGCCAGGUUUGUAGUCAGAAUGUGAAUGACUUAAAUAAUAAACUGCAGAAUAUAAUAGCUCUCUCCAAAAGUGAAUAGACAAAAAAUAAGAGGAAGAUGAGUAGAAUGUGUCAUAGGUAAAAACAAUAGUUACAAGAAGGCUGCAAGACUGUUGUUUGGCAGAAUAUGCUUGGACAAUUUUGAUUUUCACACAUCCCAUUAGUGGAUGUAGGCAUUUUCUGCUUUGGCUGUAGUUUACUGAGAUGCGUAAUGGAAAGAG
ensembl:lncRNA